AUUGAACGCUGGCGGCAUACUUUACACAUGCAAGUCGAACGGUAACAGGCCGCAAGGUGCUGACGAGUGGCGAACGGGUGAGUAAUGCAUCGGAACGUGCCCAGUCGUGGGGGAUAACGCAGCGAAAGCUGCGCUAAUACCGCAUACGAUCUAUGGAUGAAAGCGGGGGACCGUAAGGCCUCGCGCGAUUGGAGCGGCCGAUGUCAGAUUAGGUAGUUGGUGGGGUAAAGGCUCACCAAGCCGACGAUCUGUAGCUGGUCUGAGAGGACGACCAGCCAACCUGGGACUGAGACACGGACCAGACUCCUACGGGAGGCAGCAGUGGGGAAUUUUGGAUAAUGGUGGCAACCCUGAUCCAGCAAUGCCGCGUGCAGGAAGAAGGCCUUCGGGUUGUAAACUGCUUUUGUACGGAACGAAACGGCUCUGGUUAAUACCCGGGGCUAAUGACGGUACCGUAAGAAUAAGCACCGGCUAACUACGUGCCAGCAGCCGCAGUAACAC
rnacentral:rRNA from 1 species